GAGGAACGCUGGCGGCGUGCUUAACACAUGCAAGUCGAACGGAAAGGCCCAAGCUUGCUUGGGUGCUCGAGUGGCGAACGGGUGAGUAACACGUGGGUGAUCUGCCCUGCACUUUGGGAUAAGCCUGGGAAACUGGGUCUAAUACCGGAUAGGACCAUCGUUUAGUGCCGGUGGUGGAAAGUUUUUCGGUGUGGGAUGAGCUCGCGGCCUAUCAGCUUGUUGGUGGGGUAAUGGCCUACCAAGGCGUCGACGGGUAGCCGGCCCGAGAGGGUGUACGGCCACAUUGGGACUGAGAUACGGCCCAGACUCCUACGGGAGGCAGCAGUGGGGAAUAUUGCACAAUGGGCGCAAGCCUGAUGCAGCGACGCCGCGUGGGGGAUGACGGCCUUCGGGUUGUAAACUCCUUUCGCCAAGGACGAAGCGUUUUGUGACGGUACUUGGAGAAGAAGCACCGGCUAACUACGUG
rnacentral:rRNA from 1 species